UGGGUCAGAGUCUAUAAGUUGAUGCCUUUCCAAGUUGGAAGAGAUAAGUGCAUCUAUUUAAGGUAACAUCUAGUAGGACCAUAUAAAGUAAAUUAAUGUAUAAAGUAGUAGGUGCCUUUAUUGCAUGCAGCUCUUCUUCAGCAGUAGGUGAACCUUAGGAGGAACUGGUCAAAGUAAACAGCACUUUCUGGAACUGUCAAGUUCUUGUUUGGCAUCUCGGUGACUGGUUUGAUCUACUUUUCAGAUGUGGAGGCAAGGGAACUGCUGUUUUGAAAUUAUAAAAUUAAAAACACAAAGUUUGACAAAUAUGGCAGUGCCUGUUUGCAGUCUGUUUAUUGCUUUUGCCAGUGGUAGAUAACACUUAUAAGGAAUCAGCCAAAGGAAAGAGCUCCUUCUGGAACUGUGAAGCUCUGCGUUGGCAACUCGGUGACUGGUUUGACCUACCGUCCAUCUCCAGAGGAAAACAGACUGCUGUUUUAAAAUUAAAAAAUAAAAAUAAAA